ACGCUCGACACCUACUGGAGGCAGCAGUGGGGAAUAUUGCACAAUGGGGGAAACCCUGAUGCAGCGACGCCGCGUGAAGGAAGAAGUAUCUCGGUAUGUAAACUUCUAUCAGCAGGGAAGAAAGUGACGGUACCUGACUAAGAAGCCCCGGCUAACUACGUGCCAGCAGCCGCGGUAAUCUGAGCGGGCUGGCAAGGC
rnacentral:rRNA from 1 species